ACUUCGGUCAAGUUGAACGGAUGACUUAGUGGCGGACGGGUGAGUAACGCGUGAGGAACCUGCCUUUCAGUGGGGGACAACAGUUGGAAACGACUGCUAAUACCGCAUGAUACAUUUGGGUGGCAUCAUCUGAAUGUCAAAGAUUUAUCGCUGAAAGAUGGCCUCGCGUCUGAUUAGCUAGUUGGUGGGGUAACGGCCCACCAAGGCGACGAUCAGUAGCCGGACUGAGAGGUUGACCGGCCACACUGGAACUGAGACACGGUCCAGACUCC
rnacentral:rRNA from 1 species